UACGUAGGGUCCAAGCGUUGUCCGGAUUUAUUGGGCGUAAAGAGCUCGUAGGCGGUUCGGUAAGUCGGAUGUGAAAACUCAGGGCUCAACCCGGAGACGCCAUCCGAUACUGCUGUGACUUGAGUCUGGUAGGGGAACACGGAAUACCUGGUGUAGCGGUGAAAUGCGCAGAUAUCAGGUGGAACACCGAUGGCGAAGGCGCUCUGCUAGGCCGCAACUGACACUGAGGGACGAAAGCUAGGGGAGCGAAUGGG
rnacentral:rRNA from 1 species